rnacentral:rRNA from 2 species
CUAACACAUGCAAGUCGAGCGGUAGCACAGAGAGCUUGCUCUCGGGUGACGAGCGGCGGACGGGUGAGUAAUGUCUGGGAAACUGCCUGAUGGAGGGGGAUAACUACUGGAAACGGUAGCUAAUACCGCAUAAUGUCGCAAGACCAAAGUGGGGGACCUUCGGGCCUCAUGCCAUCAGAUGUGCCCAGAUGGGAUUAGCUAGUAGGUGGGGUAACGGCUCACCUAGGCGACGAUCCCUAGCUGGUCUGAGAGGAUGACCAGCCACACUGGAACUGAGACACGGUCCAGACUCCUACGGGAGGCAGCAGUGGGGAAUAUUGCACAAUGGGCGCAAGCCUGAUGCAGCCAUGCCGCGUGUGUGAAGAAGGCCUUCGGGUUGUAAAGCACUUUCAGCGGGGAGGAAGGCGNUNAGGUUAAUAACCUNNUCGAUUGACGUUACCCGCAGAAGAAAGCACCCGGGCUAACUCCCGUGCCCAGCAGCCGCGGUAAUACGGAGGGGUGCAAGCGUUAAUCGGAAUUACUGGGCGUAAAGCGCACGCAGGCGGUCUGUCAAGUCGGAUGUGAAAUCCCCGGGCUCAACCUGGGAACUGCAUUCGAAACUGGCAGGCUAGAGUCUUGUAGAGGGGGGUAGAAUUCCAGGUGUAGCGGUGAAAUGCGUAGAGAUCUGGAGGAAUACCGGUGGCGAAGGCGGCCCCCUGGACAAAGACUGACGCUCAGGUGCGAAAGCGUGGGGAGCAAACAGGAUUAGAUACCCUGGUAGUCCACGCCGUAAACGAUGUCGAUUUGGAGGUUGUGCCCUUGAGGCGUGGCUUCCGGAGCUAACGCGUUAAAUCGACCGCCUGGGGAGUACGGCCGCAAGGUUAAAACUCAAAUGAAUUGACGGGGGCCCGCACAAGCGGUGGAGCAUGUGGUUUAAUUCGAUGCAACGCGAAGAACCUUUACCUGGUCUUGACAUCCACAGAACUUUUCCAGAGAUGGAUUGGUGCCUUCGGGAACUGUGAGACAGGUGCUGCAUGGCUGUCGUCAGCUCGUGUUGUGAAAUGUUGGGUUAAGUCCCGCAACGAGCGCAACCCUUAUCCUUUGUUGCCAGCGGUUNGGCCGGGAACUCAAAGGAGACUGCCAGUGAUAAACUGGAGGAAGGUGGGGAUGACGUCAAGUCAUCAUGGCCCUUACGACCAGGGCUACACACGUGCUACAAUGGCAUAUACAAAGAGAAGCGACCUCGCGAGAGCAAGCGGACCUCAUAAAGUAUGUCGUAGUCCGGAUUGGAGUCUGCAACUCGACUCCAUGAAGUCGGAAUCGCUAGUAAUCGUAGAUCAGAAUGCUACGGUGAAUACGUUCCCGGGCCUUGUACACACCGCCCGUCACACCAUGGGAGUGGGUUGCAAAAGAAGUAGGUAGCUUAACCUUCGGGAGGGCGCUUACCACUU